CAUCCUUCAAACGGUUUUGAUCUCAGGAUUCUUUAGUGAGCGGCCUGGUUGUUUGCUGAGGAUCUGAGCUCUGGGAAUGUUUGUGGACUAUUGUGUUUCAGUGAAGCCUGGUUCAGGGAAAGAAGGUGAAAUUAAAGCAAGAAAGAUGUCAAGCAUAAGGAAAUGGGAAAAUGCAUAACACUAAGAGUUUUAAGCUCUAGGUUGUUCCUUCCUGCUUCUUCCUGGCUACACAUCUUUGGUCUCCCUUGAUCUGAGUCUCAAUAUCUUCAUCUGCAAAAUGGGUAUAAUGCCUGCCUAGGGUAGACUGCCAGCCAUAUGCAGACGUCACCGAGACCAAGCACCCAGCACUGCAUAAGGGACGACAUGGGUGAUACAGCCUCUGCCAAGGGGAGCCCAGCAGACUGGAAGGAGGAGGCAGCAGAACAGAAGGGAAGGAGAAGGACGGACGGAGUGCCCAGAAGUGAGUGCAGAUGGUAAGGAAGG
rnacentral:lncRNA from 1 species